rnacentral:rRNA from 1 species
CUCCAGAAAAUCUAUUUGAGGUACAUCCUGCCCAGUGUAAUAUAAACGGCCGCGGUAUCUUGACCGUGCGAAGGUAGCAUAAUCAUUUGCCUCUUAAUUAGAGGCUAGUAUGAACGGACACACUAAUUUUAACUUUAUUUGAUUUAGCACUAAAACUUAGUCUUUAGGUGAAGAAACCUAAAUAUUGUAGAAAGACAAGAAGACCCUAUUGAGUUUUAUCUUAAAAUAAAAUAUGAGAUUUUGUUGGGGCGACCUGGGAAUAUCACUACCUUCCCUUUUUACUAAGGAGAUUCCAUUAAAUGAUCCUAAAGGAAAAAAGAAUAAACUACCAUAGGGAUAACAGGCUAAUUUUUUCAGAGAGUUCACAUUAAAGAAAAAGUUUGGCACCUCGAUGUUGGCUUGAAGGAUCUAUUAGGUGCAGCAGCCUAAAAAAGAUAGUUUGUUCAACUAUUAAAUCUUCACGUGAUCUGAG